rnacentral:rRNA from 1 species
GUUCUAACGUUGACCCGUAAUCCGGGUUGCGGACAGUGUCUGGUGGGUAGUUUGACUGGGGCGGUCUCCUCCUAAAGAGUAACGGAGGAGCACGAAGGUUGGCUAAUCCUGGUCGGACAUCAGGAGGUUAGUGCAAUGGCAUAAGCCAGCUUGACUGCGAGCGUGACGGCGCGAGCAGGUGCGAAAGCAGGUCAUAGUGAUCCGGUGGUUCUGAAUGGAAGGGCCAUCGCUCAACGGAUAAAAGGUACUCCGGGGAUAACAGGCUGAUACCGCCCAAGAGUUCAUAUCGACGGCGGUGUUUGGCACCUCGAUGUCGGCUCAUCACAUCCUGGGGCUGAAGUAGGUCCCAAGGGUAUGGCUGUUCGCCAUUUAAAGUGGUACGCGAGCUGGGUUUAGAACGUCGUGAGACAGUUCGGUCCCUA